CAAUCUACCAAAAGGUCUGACACAACCUGCCGAAAGGCAGGCUAAUAUCAGAUGAUACAAAAAGCAGGCAUCUGUUUUUUAUCAAAGCUCCGGCGCCUUUUGAUGAGCCUACGCCCCAUUAGAUAGUUGGCGGGGUAAUGGCCCACCAAGUCUACGAUGGGUAACUGGUCUGAGAGGAUGAUCAGUCACACUGGAACUGAGACACGGUCCAG
rnacentral:rRNA from 1 species